rnacentral:lncRNA from 1 species
UUUUCUUGUUUCAUGACAUGGCACUAAUAUAGAGAGAGUAGAUCAACUUUUAUAUAUAUGAUUUUAAUAACAUUAAUUCAAUGGAAAAAUAUAAAUUAACUAAUCACAAAAUUACACUCACUUCAAAUGGUAGUAAUUUAGACACUAAUUCUCUUUGAUAGUUUAAUAAUAUUUACUUAUUAUAAUAACAAAACAAUAAGUAUAACAUAAGAAUUUAUUUGAACAUCUUUAAUGUAAGUGUAAAUUGCUUACAAAAAUGAAAAUAUCAAACAACUACUCGUCGGAAUAUAUAAUGCUAGAGCAUCUUCAUUGGGAGGUUCUAAUUUAGAAACUCCUAUUAAUAAUAAAGAAAUAUUAACUUUUAUUCAAAUUUGUCUAGAAUCUAUUUUC